rnacentral:rRNA from 1 species
UGUCUUAUUAAUAAAUUUUUAAGUCUAAUCUGCUCACUGAUAUUUGAAGAGCCGCAGUAUUCUGACUGUGCAAAGGUAGCAUAAUCAAUUGCUUAUUAAAUGUAAGCUGGAAUGAAAGAUUGAAUGAGAGAAUUUCUUUUUUGAUUUAAUUGAUUGAAAUUAAAAUUUGAGUGAAAAUUCUCAGGUAUUAUAAAAAGACGAGAAGACCCUAUAAAGUUUUAUUUGUGAGUAAAUUUUAAAUUAUUUAUGGCGAAUUUAAUUGGGGUGAUUUUUUAAAAUAAAUAACUUAAUUUUGUUUAACCAAAAUAUUUGAACUGAGAGAUCUAAUAUUAUUAAAAAUAAGAUUAAAUUACUUUAGGGAUAACAGCGUAAUUUUAAUUAAGAGUUCAUAUUUAUAUUGAAGUUUGCGACCUCGAUGUUGAAUUAAGAUAAACUAGUGGAGUAGAAGCUAUUAGUGUUAGUCUGUUCGACUAUAAAAUCUUACGUG